CCUACGGGAGACAGCAGUGGGGAAUAUUGGGCAAUGGGCGCAAGCCUGAACCAGCAACGCCGCGUGAAGGAAGAAGGCUUUCGGGUUGUAAACUUCUUUUAAGGGGGGAGAGGAGAAGACGGUGCCCCUUCGAUAAGCCACGGCUAACUACGUGCCAGCAGCCGCGGUAAUACGGAGGUGGCACGCGUUGUCCGGAUUUACUGGGUGUAAAGGGCGUGCAGCCGGGAGGACAAGUCCGAUGUGAAAUCCCGCGGCUCAACCGUGGCACUACCUUUGAAACUGUUGUUCUUGAGUACCGGAGAGGUCAUCGGAAUGCCUUGUGUAGCGGUGAAAUGCGUAGAUAUAAGGAAGAACACCAGUGGCGAAGGCGGAUGACUGGCCGGCAACUGACGGUGAGGCGCGAAAGCGUGGGGAGCAAACAGGAUUAGAUACCCCUGUAGUC
rnacentral:rRNA from 1 species